CAGGUCUUUCCUUUCCUGGCUUGUUUAGAGCAUCCCUGUGAGCAGCAGGACCUCCUGGCCUGGCAGGAGCAGGAGGGAGUGCUGUCCCACUUCAGAGGAAAUUCCCACUGGGAUUUCUGCAGUGAUUUCAACAUCAGGAACAAAGCACACGAACUCCAUGUCACAUAAACUCUGCUAAGGGAAUCCCAACAAACUUGCCACGGGAAGGAGCAUUUAUUGGUGAGGCAUUGCCAAAUCCCCCGGAGCUGUCCAUGCACAAAGGGGUUGGGUCAUCCCCGUGCAGCCCCACAGCUGCAGCAGGGCUUGGCACAGGGUUUCUGCUGAAGAUGAGAGGGUUUGGUCCUGCAGGAGCAGCUGCGUGGGCUUUGCAAUGCAGAUACUCAGCCGCAGACUCCAAACUGUGAAUCCCUAUUCCUGGACUCUGAGCUCCUGAGGUUGAUUUUACCACUUCAAUAAGAAGGGAAAAUUUCGUGGAUUGGUAGCAGAAGCAAGUGAUAUGAAAGAACAUCUUGGAUUAUGUUGCUGCAAAUGAGAGGUUUCAGUCAUGGUACUGGAUGAGCUGCAGGUAAGCAGUGGGUUUAAUGUCAGCUUUUUUGGCAGCUUCUUUAUUCUCUCUCCACUUUGCACAAACAAACUGCCUUUGUGAGGAAGUUCAUUUUCCUUUUUAGCCAAGCAUUUGUCAACAUAGCUUCCCAAUAAUCCUCUCCAUGCAGAUAAAAGAGAGCUGGCAGCCACACCGGAGCCCUCAUCUCAAGCCUGCUGCCCACUCUGGUUCAUUAAGGGAUUUUCCCCUCUCUUGCAGGGCAGAAGCUGUGCCCACAUGAAGAAUCCUAAAUCCCAGUGUGACACUCAGUUACCCUUUACUCCAUCCUAAUCAGCCCUGUGCAAUUAAGGUGCCAGGGAACAAAACCCCAGGCCCCAGAGGGUGUGGGAUGUAAGGCCUUUCUGCCUUCAUUAGGCAGUCUGGGGCAUCAUCAACCAAAUUCUAGUCCAGGAUAUAGGGAGGGUAAGAGAAACUUCAGAUCCCUUGGGCUGCCUCUGUCCUUCCCAUGUUCAUUUUUUUGGUCUCGGAAGGCUCUCGGACCAAAGUAUCACUUUAUAUUAAAAACAUAUACCACAAAGCCCUUCAGAUCAAAGCCUGACACGGGCCAGGCUCCCACCCUGGUGGAAUCCCUGCCCAGGAUUCUCACUGCCACAGUUUAGCCAGUGAAGGCAGGAGAAGGGGCUGACUGUGCCAGGGAAGCAGCACCUCCUUUCCCAGCCCCAUGCCCAACUGUUUCCCUUUGGUGCCUGCUGGUUUGGAGGACUUCAACCUGCAGCCUCCUUAACA